UUAAAAAGUUAUUAACUUUUAAUAACAUACAAUUAUUAACGUUUGAAGUUCCGCUUGUAGAAUGGCAACCCGCGAACAGCAACGUUCACGCGGAAGGUUGCGGCAGACCAGUGCUAGUGGUUCUCACGCAGCAUGAAAAAUUCUACUUACCGACAUUAUCGACAGCCUUAGAUUUUUGUCCACUUAUGGAAAUGCGAACACCUUACGUUGAAUAACAUUCAACCUGUCUU